UUUCUGUAAGCCCUUCGGAAGCCUUGUUCUGGAUCUAGUUCACAAGAAAAGAAGCCAGAUAUAGUAGGAAAAGUAUGGGUUUUGGAGUCAGCAUAUCUGAAUAAUUGGAUGAUGCUCCUUUACACUCUAGGACAGUUUGAAAGAAAUUACAGAGAAGAAAAAGCCUGCUUGGGAAGGAAGAGAACUGGAUGGGUCAACAGCCAGAAAUGACGAUGGAUGCUGGCUCCCACAGCAGCAGACUGCGUCUAGUUCAUCUUCCUUCCAGUUCUAAGCUGGGAUCCAAGCCUGGUGUGGGCUACGGUAUGCAGGCUUUGAACUUCCCUGGCAUUUGUACGAAACAGUGUGAUCCAACUGGUAGCAGAAAUUCCAUGUUUAUGCAGAACAACAUCUGCAGAUUUUAUCUCCAGUACAGCCCGGUUACAGUCACACUUGGUAUUUGAAGAAUGAAAUGAAGCAACCACAGAAAGAGAUAAAAUGGCAAGUACUCUCUGUCUGGAGUCUCUGUAGCUGUUUCAAAUACAAAUAGGCUUCAC